rnacentral:rRNA from 1 species
GACGAACGCUGGCGGCGUGCUUAACACAUGCAAGUCGAACGGAAAGGCCCUGCUUUUGUGGGGUGCUCGAGUGGCGAACGGGUGAGUAACACGUGAGUAACCUGCCCUUGACUUUGGGAUAACUUCAGGAAACUGGGGCUAAUACCGGAUAGGAGCUCCUGCUGCAUGGUGGGGGUUGGAAAGUUUCGGCGGUUGGGGAUGGACUCGCGGCUUAUCAGCUUGUUGGUGGGGUAGUGGCUUACCAAGGCUUUGACGGGUAGCCGGCCUGAGAGGGUGACCGGCCACAUUGGGCCUGGGAUACGGCCCAGACUCGUACGGGAGGCAGCAGUGGAGAAUAGUGCACAAUGGGAGGGAGCCUGAUGCAACAACGCCGCGUGCGGGAUGACGGCCUUCGGGUGGGAAACCGCUUUCGCCUGUGACGAAGCGUGAGUGACGGUAAUGGGUAAAGAAGCACCGGCUAACUACGUG